CAUUUUUUCAACAAUUCAGUAAUGUACAAUUGCCUGCAGGUCAGGUUCCAGGCACUAGCCAGUCCGGAAAUUUACCGGAAAUUGAUAUGCAAGGUCAAGGUGACGAUGACAAUAUUGAAGAACCUAGUGAGGGGUACGCAUAUUCAAUGCAUGAUAUUUUCUCAAGCACUGACCCAAAUGAAAACCAAAUUAUCAAUGCUGAUUCGGCAGGCAUUGAACUGCCAAGGAUAUUUGAAGAUCAGACAAAAUUUUCAGACCCCGUCACAGAAAGUUUGGCAGAGUUUGUUAACAAUGCAUGUACUCGCAAGGCUGACAUAAGUAAAUUUCUAGAGGGCAAGCAGGUCCCCAGUAAUUGCAAAUCAUUAAUUCCUCCGACUAUUAACACGGAGAUAUGGAAUUGUCUAUAUUCUAACAUUCAGCAGCGAGACAGGUCUUUACAGGAAGCGCAGAAAGUCCUGGGGCUAAGCAUUGUACCUAUGAUUGAAAUGGCAGAAAUUUUGAAGGGCAACCAGAUUGAUAUUUCAAAGUUUAAACAGCUCUUAACGCAAAGCAUUGCGUUGGCAAGUAAUGCAUUUUUUUAGAUUAACAUUAAACGGAGGUACUUCAUUAGACCCUAUGUAUCUAAAAAGUUCCAACAGUUGUGUUCUGCUUCAUAUCCUAUAGAGGAGCACUUAUUUCCUAAUGACGUUGGGAAGAGAAUGAAGGAAAUCAAUGAAGCCUCUCAAAUUAACCGUCAGGUUUGCUCCAAUUAUAAUGGUUCAAAAAACUUCAGAAGACCUUGGGGACGAGGUGGCCAGAGCAGUCAGCCCCAGGGUCCAUACAGAGGCCAAUCAUGGAGAUCCAACAGAGGCAGAGGCCGAGGCUACAGAGCCAGGGGCUCCUACAGAGGAAAGUUUUAGAAUCUAAACAUGAUAAGCCGGGUGCUACAGAAAAUCCAAGACGAUCAGUGAACAGAGUGACA